GCUCAUGACUCAAUAUGUGUUAAAUGGCCGCGGUAUUCUGACCGUGCAAAGGUAGCAUAAUCAUUAGUUCUUUAAUUGAGAACUUGUAUGAAUGGUUGGACAAAGAAAGAUCUGUCUCUUAGGUUAAGAUUGAAAUUAACUUCUAAGUGAAAAGGCUUAGAUUAUCUAGAGGGACGAUAAGACCCUAUAAAGCUUAUAAAUUUAAGAAUCACUCAUAUUUUAUAAAUAAAAGUUGAUUCUAAAUUUUUAUUUAGUUGGGGCGACGAGGGUAUAAUUGAUAAGUAACUGCCAAUUUAUAUCACAAAAAUUAAUGAGUAGAAGUAAUAGUUGAUCCCUUUUAAGGAUUAAAAGAUUAAGUUACUUUAGGGAUAACAGCGUAAUUUAACCUGAGAGUUCUUAUCAAAGGUGAAGUUUGCGACCUCGAUGUUGAAUUAAAAUGUCUCUAUAGUGCAGCAGCUAUAAAAGAAGGUCUGUUCGACCUUUAAUUUUUUACAUGAUUUGAGUUCAGACCGGCGAGAGCCAGGUCGGUUUCUAUCUUCUAGAAAAAUAAAGAGUACUUUAGUACGAAAGGAUUGAGUAGUCAAAAGUUUUUUAAGAAUUGAAAU
rnacentral:rRNA from 1 species